rnacentral:lncRNA from 1 species
CAGCGGAAAAUGGCCAAAAACGGGUGGGCUAUAGCCUUGGUGGGGGGCGUGGGCGAAGUUCGUCCGCGGGACUCGGAAUGGCACCAGACUUGGCGGGCGGCCUCCGUGUGCCAAAAAUAGGCCACGGGCAAAGCCGCGCCCAAAAAACAGCCCCCGAAGUUCGGGGUCCCAAGACCCCCCAGCGGAUAAAUGGCCAAAAAACGGGUGGGCUAUAGCCUUGGUGGGGGGCGUGGGCGAAGUUCUUCUGCGGAACUCGGAAUGGCACCAGACUUGGCGGGCGGCCUCCGUGUGCCAAAAAUAGGCCACGGGCACAGCCGCGCCCAAAAAACAGCCCCCGAAGUUCGGGGUCCCAAGACCCCCCAGCGGAAAAAUGGCCAAAAAACGGGUGGGCUAUAGCCUUGGUGGGGGGCGUGGGCGAAGUUCGUCCGCGGGACUCGGAAUGGCACCAGACUUGGCGGGCGGCCUCCGUGUGCCAAAAAUAGGCCACGGGCACAGCCGCGCCCAAAAAACAGCCCCCGAAGUUCGGGGUCCCAAGACCCCCCAGCGGAAAAAUGGCCAAAAAACCGGUGGGCUAUGGCCUUGGUGGGGGGCGUGGGCGAAGUUCGUCCGCGGGACUCGGAAUGGCACCAGACUUGGCGGGCGGCCUCCGUGUGCCAAAAAUAGGCCACGGGCACAGCCGCGCCCAAAAAAAAGCCCCCGAAGUUCGGGGUCCCAAGACCCCCCAGCGGAAAAAUGGCCAAAAAACGGGUGGGCUAUAGCCUUGGUGGGGGGCGUGGGCGAAGUUCGUCCGCGGGACUCGGAAUGGCACCAGACUUGGCGGGCGGCCUCCGUGUGCCAAAAAUAGGCCACGGGCACAGCCGCGCCCAAAAAACAGCCCCCGAAGUUCGGGGUCCCAAGACCCCCCAGCGGAUAAAUGGCCAAAAAACGGGUGGGCUAUAGCCUUGGUGGGGGGCGUGGGCGAAGUUCGUCCGCGGGACUCGGAAUGGCACCAGACUUGGCGGGCGGCCUCCGUGUGCCAAAAAUAGGCCACGGGCACAGCCGCGCCCAAAAAACAGCCCCCGAAGUUCGGGGUCCCAAGACCCCCCAGCGGAAAAAUGGCAAAAAAACGGGUUGGCUAUAGCCUUGGUGGGGGGCGUGGGCGAAGUUCGUCCGCGGGACUCGGAAUGGCACCAGACUUGGCGGGCGGCCUCCGUGUGCCAAAAAUAGGCCACGGGCACAGCCGCGCCCAAAAAACAGCCCCCGAAGUUCGGGGUCCCAAGACCCCCCAGCGGAAAAAUGGCCAAAAAACGGGUGGGCUAUAGCCUUGGUGGGGUGCGUGGGCGAAGUUCGUCCGCGGGACUCGGAAUGGCACCAGACUUGGCGGGCGGCCUCCGUGUGCCAAAAAUAGGCCACAGGCACAGCCGCGCCCAAAAAACAGCCCCCGAAGUUUGGGGUCCCAAGACCCCCCAGCGGAAAAAUGGCCAAAAAACGGUGGGCUAUAGCCUUGGUGGGGGGCGUGGGCGAAGUUCGUCCGUGGGACUCGGAAUGGCACCAGACUUGGCGGGCGGCCUCCGUGUGCCAAAAAUAGGCCACGGGCACAGCCGCGCCCAAAAAACAGCCCCCGAAGUUCGGGGUCCCAAGACCCCCCAGCGGAAAAAUGGCCAAAAAACGGGUGGGCUAUAGCCUUGGUGGGGGGCGUGGGCGAAGUUCGUCCGCGGGACUCGGAAUGGCACCAGACAUGGCGGGCGGCCUCCGUGUGCCAAAAAUAGGCCACGGGCACAGCCGCGCCCAAAAAAUAGCCCCCGAAGUUCGGGGUCCCAAGACCCCCCAGCGGAAAAAUGGCCAAAAAACGGGUGGGCUAUAGCCUUGGUGGGGGGCGUGGGCGAAGUUCGUCCGCGGGACUCGGAAUGGCACCAGACUUGGCAGGCGGCCUCCGUGUGCCAAAAAUAGGCCACGGGCACAGCCGCGCCCAAAAAAAAACCCCCGAAGUUCGGGGUCCCAAGACCCCCCAGCGGAAAAAUGGCCAAAAAACGGGUGGGCCAUAGCCUUGGUGGGGGGCGUGGGCGAAGUUCGUCCGCGGGACUCGGAAUGGCACCAGACUUGGCGGGCGGCCUCCGUGUGCCAAAAAUAGGCCACGGGCACAGCCGCGCCCAAAAAUCAGCCCCCGAAGUUCGGGGUCCCAAGACCCCCCAGCGGAAAAAUGGCCAAAAAACGGGUGGGCUAUAGCCUUGGUGGGGGGCGUGGGCGAAGUUCGUCCGCGGGACUCGGAAUGGCACCAGACUUGGCGGGCGGCCUCCGUGUGCCAAAAAUAGGCCACGGGCACAGCCGCGCUCAAAAAACAGCCCCCGAAGUUCGGGGUCCCAAGACCCCCCAGCGGAAAAAUGGCCAAAAAACGGGUGGGCUAUAGCCUUGGUGGGGGGCGUGGGCGAAGUUCGUCCGCGGGACUCGGAAUGGCACCAGACUUGGCGGGCGGCCUCCGUGUGCCAAAAAUAGGCCACGGGCACAGCCGCGCCCAAAAAACAGCCCCCGAAGUUCGGGGUCCCAAGACCCCCCAGCGGAAAAAUGGCCAAAAAACGGGUGGGCUAUAGCCUUGGUGGGGGGCGUGGGCGAAGUUCGUCCGCGGGACUCGGAAUGGCACCAGACUUGGCGGGCGGCCUCCGUGUGCCAAAAAUAGGCCACGGGCACAGCCGCGCCCAAAAAACAGCCCCCGAAGUUCGGGGUCCCAAGACCACCCAGCGGAAAAAUGGCCAAAAAACGGGUGGGCUAUAGCCUUGGUGGGGGGCGUGGGCGAAGUUCGUCCGCGGGACUCGGAAUGGCACCAGACUUGGCGGGCGGCCUCCGUGUGCCAAAAAUAGGCCACGGGCACAGCCGCGCCCAAAAAAUAGCCCCCGAAGUUCGGGGUCCCAAGACUCCCCAGCGGAAAAAUGGCCAAAAAACAGUGGGCUAUAGCCUUGGUGGGGGGCGUGGGCGAAGUUCGUCCGUGGGACUCGGAAUGGCACCAGACUUGGCGGGCGGCCUCCGUGUGCCAAAAAUAGGCCACUGGCACAGCCGCGCUCAAAAAACAGCCCCCGAAGUUCGGGGUCCCAAGACCCCCCAGCGGAAAAAUGGCCAAAAAACGGGUGGGCUAUAGCCUUGGUGGGGGGCGUGGGCGAAGUUCGUCCGCGGGACUCGGAAUGGCACCAGACUUGCCGGGCGGCCUCCGUGUGCCAAAAAUAGGCCACGGGCACAGCCGCGCCCAAAAAACAGCCCCCGAAGUUCGGGGUCCCAAGACCACCCAGCGGAAAAAUGGCCAAAAAACGGGUGGGCUAUAGCCUUGGUGGGGGGCGUGGGCGAAGUUCGUCCGCGGGACUCGGAAUGGCACCAGACUUGGCGGGCGGCCUCCGUGUGCCAAAAAUAGGCCACGGGCACAGCCGCGCCCAAAAAACAGCCCCCGAAGUUCGGGGUCCCAAGACCCCCCAGCGGAAAAAUGGCCAAAAAACGGGUGGGCUAUAGCCUUGGUGGGGGGCGUGGGCGAAGUUCGUCCGCGGGACUCGGAAUGGCACCAGACUUGGCGGGCGGCCUCCGUGUGCCAAAAAUAGGCCACGGGCACAGCCGCGCCCAAAAAACAGCCCCCGAAGUUCGGGGUCCCAAGACCCCCUAGCGGAAAAAUGGCCAAAAAACGGGUGGGCUAUAGCCUUGGUGGGGGGCGUGGGCGAAGUUCGUCCGUGGGACUCGGAAUGGCACCAGACUUGGCGGGCGGCCUCCGUGUGCCAAAAAUAGGCCACGGGCACAACCGCGCCCAAAAAACAACCCCCGAAGUUCGGGGUCCCAAGACCCCCCAGCGGAAAAAUGGCCAAAAAACGGGUGGGCUAUAGC